UGUAUGUAAUUUAAAUAAAAUAUCAAGCUGUGACCCUGACAAUAGGAAUCCUCCUCAUACACCAGA
rnacentral:tRNA from 1 species